rnacentral:rRNA from 1 species
GACGAACGCUGGCGGCGUGCUUAACACAUGCAAGUCGAGCGGAGCGGCGAACGGGUGAGUAACGCGUGAGUAACUGCCCCCCUCUCUGGGAUAACAGUUGGAAACGGCUGCUAAUACCGGAUAGUGGGGGAUGACUCGCGUCCUAUCAGCUUGUUGGUGGGGUAGUGGCCUACCAAUGCGACGACGGGUAGCCGGCCUGAGAGGGCGACCGGCCACAUGUGGCCGAGGUACGGCACAAACUUCGACGGGAGGCAUCGGUGGGUGAUAGUGAACAAUGGGGUAAACCCUGAGGCAGCAACGCCGAGGGCGGGAUGACGGCUUUCGGGUUGUAAACCGCUUUCAGCCAUGACGCGGUAGUGGCAGAAGAAGCACCGGCUAACUACGUGCCAGCAGCCGCGGUAAUUC